UGGGGAAUAUUGCACAAUGGGGGAAACCCUGAUGCAGCCAUGCCGCGUGUGUGAAGAAGGCCUUCGGGUUGUAAAGCACUUUCAGUAGGGAGGAAAGGGUGUAACUUAAUACGUUAUAUCUGUGACGUUACCUACAGAAGAAGGACCGGCUAACUCCGUGCCAGCAGCCGCGGUAAUACGGAGGGUCCGAGCGUUAAUCGGAAUUACUGGGCGUAAAGCGUGCGCAGGCGGUUUGUUAAGCGAGAUGUGAAAGCCCUGGGCUCAACCUAGGAAUAGCAUUUCGAACUGGCGAACUAGAGUCUUGUAGAGGGGGGUAGAAUUCCAGGUGUAGCGGUGAAAUGCGUAGAGAUCUGGAGGAAUACCGGUGGCGAAGGCGGCCCCCUGGACAAAGACUGACGCUCAUGCACGAAAGCGUGGGGAGCAAACA
rnacentral:rRNA from 1 species